CCUUUGGAGGCAAGGACUGGAAUCCUCCGAGAAUACCCGGAUGUCGCUCUUUUCCCUCCCUCCCUCCCUCCCUCCUCCCCUUCGGGGCUCGCGGCAAGGAGAACAAAAUGGCGGCCGAAGUAGACGCACCCGUUGGAUGAAACCAGGAGAAGGGAUUUCAAGAAAUGGCCUUGGCUAAUCUUUAUUUCCUUUGCCGUUGUUGCCAACUUUGCCAAAAUUCCCGGCAUCUGCCUUUUACUUCCACAAUCUACGGUUGGGAGUUCUCGACUUACAAACCAAACUUACAAGUCAACCUUGAGCUGAUCAGGAUUGAACUCCUGGCUGUGGGCAGAAUUAGCCUGCAAUUACUACAUUCUAACCACCAGGGUUACAUCCUAACUGUGCCACCAGGGCUUAAUGUCUGUUUGAAGGUAUUGAAAAAAAAGUGACUUACAAUCAGUUCUCACAUUUAAAACCAUUACAGCAUCCCCACAGUUUUACAUGCUCAAAAUUCAGGCAAUUGGCAUGUACUUAUGACGGUUUCGCUAUCCCGGGGUCAUAAGAUCACCCUUUGUGACCUUCCUAGUCAGCAUCUGACAAGC
rnacentral:lncRNA from 1 species